CUACAUGUGUUUUGUGAGGGGGGUCCCUUCUCAGGGCCAUCCAAUCUCUAUACGACCAAAGUGAGAGCUGUGUUCUCGGCAGUAAGUGAGGGUUGGCCUCCGCCAGGGCUGCGCUUUAUCACCA